CAAGUCGAACGAUUCACGUAUCUUUGAUUCUUCGGAUGAAGAGAUUUGUGACUGAGUGGCGGACGGGUGAGUAACGCGUGGGUAACCUGCCUCAUACAGGGGGAUAACAGUUAGAAAUGACUGCUAAUACCGCAUAAGACCACGGAGCCGCAUGGCUCCGUGGGAAAAACUCCGGUGGUAUGAGAUGGACCCGCGUCUGAUUAGGUAGUUGGUGGGGUAACGGCCUACCAAGCCAACGAUCAGUAGCCGACCUGAGAGGGUGACCGGCCACAUUGGGACUGAGACACGGCCCAAACUCCUACGGGAGGCAGCAGUGGGGAAUAUUGCACAAUGGGGGAAACCCUGAUGCAGCGACGCCGCGUGAGCGAAGAAGUAUUUCGGUAUGUAAAGCUCUAUCAGCAGGGAAGAAAAUGACGGUACCUGACUAAGAAGCACCGGCUAAAUACGUGCCAGCAGCCGCGGUAAUACGUAUGGUGCAAGCGUUAUCCGGAUUUACUGGGUGUAAAGGGAGCGUAGACGGCUGUGUAAGUCUGAAGUGAAAGCCCGGGGCUCAACCCCGGGACUGCUUUGGAAACUAUGCAGCUAGAGUGUCGGAGAGGUAAGUGGAAUUCCCAGUGUAGCGGUGAAAUGCGUAGAUAUGGGAGGAACACCAGUGGCGAAGGCGGCUUACUGGACGAUGACUGACGUUGAGGCUCGAAAGCGUGGGGAGCAAACAGGAUUAGAUACCCUGGUAGUCCACGCCGUAAACGAUGACUACUAGGUGUCGAGGAGCAAAGCUCUUCGGUGCCGCAGCAAACGCAAUAAGUAGUCCACCUGGGGAGUACGUUCGCAAGAAUGAAACUCAAAGGAAUUGACGGGGACCCGCACAAGCGGUGGAGCAUGUGGUUUAAUUCGAAGCAACGCGAAGAACCUUACCUGCUCUUGACAUCCCGGUGACCGGCGUGUAAUGACGCCUUUUCUUCGGAACACCGGUGACAGGUGGUGCAUGGUUGUCGUCAGCUCGUGUCGUGAGAUGUUGGGUUAAGUCCCGCAACGAGCGCAACCCUUAUCUUCAGUAGCCAGCAUUUUGGAUGGGCACUCUGGAGAGACUGCCAGGGAUAACCUGGAGGAAGGUGGGGAUGACGUCAAAUCAUCAUGCCCCUUAUGAGCAGGGCUACACACGUGCUACAAUGGCGUAAACAAAGGGAAGCGAGCCUGCGAGGGUAAGCAAAUCUCAAAAAUAACGUCUCAGUUCGGAUUGUAGUCUGCAACUCGACUACAUGAAGCUGGAAUCGCUAGUAAUCGCGAAUCAGCAUGUCGCGGUGAAUACGUUCCCGGGUCUUGUACACACCGCCC
rnacentral:rRNA from 1 species